ACACAUGCAAGUCGAGCGGUAAGGCCCUUUCGGGGGUACACGAGCGGCGAACGGGUGAGUAACACGUGGGUGACCUGCCCUCCACUCUGGGAUAAGCCCGGGAAACUGGGUCUAAUACCGGAUAGGACCACUGGAUGCAUGUCUGGUGGUGGAAAGUUUUUUCGGUGGGGGAUGGGCCCGCGGCCUAUCAGCUUGUUGGUGGGGUGAUGGCCUACCAAGGCGGUGACGGGUAGCCGGCCUGAGAGGGCGACCGGCCACACUGGGACUGAGACACGGCCCAGACUCCUACGGGAGGCAGCAGUGGGGAAUAUUGCGCAAUGGGCGGAAGCCUGACGCAGCGACGCCGCGUGGGGGAUGACGGCCUUCGGGUUGUAAACCUCUUUCGCCAGGGACGAAGCUAACGUGACGGUACCUGGAGAAGAAGCACCGGCCAACUACGUGCCAGCAGCCGCGGUAACACGUAGGGUGCGAGCGUUGUCCGGAAUUAUUGGGCGUAAAGAGCUCGUAGGCGGUGUGUCGCGUCGGCCGUGAAAACUUGGGGCUUAACUCUGAGCGUGCGGUCGAUACGGGCAUCACUUGAGUUCGGCAGGGGAGACUGGAAUUCCUGGUGUAGCGGUGAAAUGCGCAGAUAUCAGGAGGAACACCGGUGGCGAAGGCGGGUCUCUGGGCCGAUACUGACGCUGAGGAGCGAAAGCGUGGGGAGCGAACAGGAUUAGAUACCCUGGUAGUCCACGCCGUAAACGUUGGGCGCUAGGUGUGGGGACCAUUCCACGGUUUCUGUGCCGCAGCUAACGCAUUAA
rnacentral:rRNA from 1 species